rnacentral:rRNA from 1 species
GACGAACCGUGCGAACGUUAUUCGGAAUCACUGGGCUUAAAGCGCGUGUAGGCGGGACGGCACGUCGGUCGCUGAAAUCCCCCGGCUCAACCGGGGAACGGGCGCCGAUACGACCGCCCUGGAGGGACGUAGGGGGACCUGGAACUUCCGGUGGAGCGGUGAAAUGCGUUGAGAUCGGAAGGAACGCCCGUGGCGAAAGCGGCUCUCUGGGACGGUACUGACGCUGAGACGCGAAAGCGUGGGGAGCGAACAGG